GGGGCUGUAGCUCAGUGGUAGAGCACUUGCCUAGCAUGUGUGAAGCACUGGGUUCAAUCCUCAGCACCA
rnacentral:tRNA from 1 species